rnacentral:rRNA from 1 species
AUUAGAGUUUGAUCAUGGCUCAGGAUGAACGCUGGCGGCGUGUUUAAGGCAUGCAAGUCGUGGGACGGUCCCGAGCAAUCGGGAUACGGACCGGCAAACGGGUGAGUAACACAUUGGUAACCUACCUCCGAGUCGGGGAUAGCUCGCCGAAAGGCGAAUUAAUACCCGAUAGUAAUGCGGGGACAAAAGUCAUUCGCAUUUAAACCCGCAAGGGGCUGGGAGAGGGGCCUAUGUCUGAUUAGCUAGUUGGUAGGGUAAUGGCCUACCAAGGCUGUGAUCAGUAGCAGGCGUGAGAGCGUGACCUGCCUCACUGGGACUGAGAUACUGCCCAGACACCUACGGGUGGCUGCAGUCAAGAAUAUUCCUCAAUGGGCGAAAGCCUGAAGGAGCGACGCCGCGUGUAGGAUGAAGGUUUUCGGAUUGUAAACUACUUUUAUAUGGGACGAAUUCGUGACGGUACCAUAUGAAUAAGAGGUUGCUAACUCUGUGCCAGCCGCCGCGGUAAUACA